rnacentral:tRNA from 44 species
GGCGGAGUAGCUCAGUUGGUUAGAGCAGAGGAAUCAUAAUCCUUGUGUCGGGGGUUCAAAUCCCUCCUCCGCUACCA